GACGAACCGUGCGAACGUUGUUCGGAAUCACUGGGCUUAAAGGGCGCGUAGGCGGGCUCCCAAGUCCGGGGUGAAAUCUUUCGGCUCAACCGGAAAACAGCCCUGGAUACUGGGGGCCUCGAGCGAGGUAGGGGCAGCUGGAACUUCCGGUGGAGCGGUGAAAUGCGUUGAUAUCGGAAGGAACGCCGGUGGCGAAAGCGAGCUGCUGGACCUCUUCUGACGCUGAGGCGCGAAAGCCAGGGGAGCAAACGGG
rnacentral:rRNA from 1 species